rnacentral:lncRNA from 1 species
UGUGAUAUAUAAUAUUUUUAUAGACAACAGAUCACAAUUUGCAAAGUAUAUUAUUAGAUUUUAUUGUAUUGACUUUAAACAGGGCAUGCCUUCCCUUAUAUAAAUUCCGAAUAGCAUGCAUUAUGCAUGCUUGAAUUCUACUAAUAAAUUAUAUGAAAAUUAAUCAAAGGCAUUAAGUGACGCAAAUUUACGAAUAUGAAAAAUGAAUAAAAAUAAUUAAGUGUGUUAAGAUCAUUGGUAUACUAGGUAUUUUGCAGUUUUUGACCCAAAAAGGGUAUUUUGCAGUUUCUGGCAAGCCCUUAAAAGGCAGUUGAAUCUUGGCACCCCGAUGUUUCAACUUUCAAGCUUUGGUAAGAAAAAAAUAAUUAAGUUUGUUCAUUCUUUGUUAAAUGUAUUGAUGUAAAAUUAAAAGCUCCUAUUUGAUAUAUGGACUACUCUGUGAACUAAUUGACCAUUUGAUAUUUUAUGAUUAAAGGUUGUAAUUUGUUGCAUACUUUUUUUUGUAUUAAUUGUCUUCUUUUAGAAAUAGAAGGGAUGCAUUCAUGUUUUU